AUGCUGCUCGACCGUGAUGAAUAGUCAGAUACCAACUUUAGAAGCAUGGAUGGCUUAUCUUCUAAUAGCCGUAAAAGAGUGUCAAACUCAGCAACUCGACCAUCAUUGAGCACCAGAACUCGAUCACUGUCUGUAAUAGUAUGGAUACGAUGUGCAAUGGUGAGCACAAUGCAGGCUUUGAACUCUGUUCAAAUAAUCUUCUGGGUAAGAUUAUCAGUGACGGUGUCGACAAAUGCUAUUGCUUCAUCAAGUACAAGUAUUUUUAACUGCUUCAAUAGAACUCAACCAAGAGAAAUAAGUUAUUGUCGUCCUACACUCCAAUUGUCUCCAUUUUCUAUAACCCGUUUAUCAAGCUUUUAUUCUUUCUCGCAGAUGAUAUCUCCUUAUUUGAAUUUUCAAAGUCUUUCCUCAAAUCUUGAA